ensembl:ncRNA asRNA:CR45804 antisense RNA:CR45804
GUGUAUGUUGGUGUGUGUGUUACUCUCACUCAUACCAGCACAACGCCACUAAACACACACAAACACACAGACGCACGGCUAUAGCGACAAAGACGGUGUACAGUCCACUUGUUAAAUCAAUAAAAAUAAAAAGAAAUCAAGCCAAAGGCAGGCCACAAAAAUUCAGGAAAAAUCAUUCAGUUUUAGGUAAUCACAAAUUCCCAUAGAUUCCCAUUGUUGAUUGUGGCAGCGAAACGCCAGCAACCUUCAGCGAAUGUCAAGGACCUUUUGAGCACAUGUGUUUGCAGACCAAACACUUUUUCGUCAAACUCAAUUAGCGCACUUUAAAAACACAUUUGUCCGUUGUCGUUAAACACUUGUUGGUGGUCACACACGCAAUUUGCGAAGGAAAUUCUCCUGCAGGACUACUCACCAGGUCUCCAAGUUGCUGAACUUCUUCGUAACCACCUUGCCGAGAUCGAUUCCCAGGCGAUCGACUAUCCGCUGGGCCAAAUCCGGAUGCGAGGUGCCCGAAAACACUUUGAUGUUCGGCAUUCUGGAGUGGAUUAAAUUUAGACAACCAGCCUGUUUCUCCAAAUUGUCUCGGAUCAAACUUCUAGCGCGUAUCGGAUUAGCAGAGCGAACUGGCAUCACACAAUCUAUGAGUAGAAGUUUUUAUUAUAAAUUUUUUUCGCCAAAACGCGGGCAGCGACGUCGACGUCGUCGCCUUAUCGGUGAGAAAGCAAGAGCGUAAAAGAGAGCAACGAAGCUUUUUGCUGCGCACUGCGCUCUCUUUCGCUCGCUCUUUCUGUAAAGCCACCCCAAUUAUCCCCCAUUCCCAUCCAGACCAUGUGAUUUUUCUACGCGUUCUCCAGGGAACUGGAAAGCUAUCGAUUUCGAUUCCGG